UCCUCUGUCUCGAAGGGGACAUAAGAAGGUCGCUGAUUGGCUGCACCUUGCUCAAGCUGUUUUCGCUCCGGGACGAUCACACUUUUUCACAGCUCAGAUUGGCAUGUUGGUGAACUUAUUAGCUUAGAUUUCACGUUAUUCAUGCCUACAUGAGCUGCAUACAACUGCUCUAAUCGGUAGGAUGUGGACGGACAUUGCAUUCAUUCCCAUUCAGCCGUUGGACUGAACCUGUACUGUCUGUAACACAGUAUGGAUGGUCAAUAUGAAGCGAGCUUCAUUGAAUUCCUCCAAGAGCUCUUGUACUCCGUUCUGACCAUUUUGAAGAUGGUUGCUUUGACAGGACUGGGCAAGUGACUCGUCUUAGACAGGAUGCUGUCCCAACCAUGUUUGAUUUCCUGCCUCGUCUUCAGAAGCCAAGGAAUUCCCCGAAAGAAAGACGUUUUGAUUCAGCAAACAACCUCCCAGAUACUGCAAAGUCUUCAGCACCUUCAUUUCUCGAGGACCACUCCUACUCAAUAUCAGAAAGUCCAAGAGAGGUAAAGUGGAAGAUAACAGCAAUAAUGGACUGUAUUAAGAACUUGGAGAAGAGGCUGAAAACCACACACGAGAAGUCCCGUCGUGUACAUUACUUGCUCUUAAGUUUGGACAAACAUAACUUGCAAAACUUUACAACAAAUAAUUACCCCAAUGUGCAUUCUGAUUAUUUAAAAUAGCUCAAUGAAAUAGUUUAUCAGUGGGCAUGUAACAAAAGUGAAUUCAUUAAAUUUGAACGUGUUGCAAAAAUGAUGUCUUACAGUAUAUUCAUUCUGACUUAGAAUGUCAGAAGAGAAAAAAGUUUGUGAAAAGUAGGAAUGACGGCAAGAUGACAGAAGAAUAGAACAGGAUAGAGCAAGGGGGACAGAUAAAGGACAAGUCCACCCCAAAAAUUGUUGAUAUGAAUAAAAAGAGAAAAAUCCAACAAGCAUAACACUGAAAAUUUGAUAAAAAAUCGGAUGUAAAAUAAGAAAGUUAUGACAUUUAAAAAUUUUGCUAAAUUUUACAAAAGAGUUAUAUGCACAUUCUGUACACAGUCAGUAUGCAAAUGAGGAGAUUGAUGACGUCAUCCACUCACUAUUUCAUUUGAUAUAUAGAAUAAGGUAUAUUCUAAUUUUCUCCUUGUCAUGUUAAACAAAAUUUUAUUCCUCCCUGAUCAUGUGGAAUUAGCAUUAUUCAAUACUUUUUUGGUUCAGUAAAGUUUGUCCUUAUGGUAAAAUCUGUAAAAAAUGAAAUAUUGUAUAAUUCAAACAAUAAAAAACAAAAUAAACAGUGAG